CCGGAAACUUCCAGAGAUGGGUUCGCCCGUUUUAGGUCGGUAUACAGGUGGUGCAUGGUUGUCGUCAGCUCGUGUCGUGAGAUGUUGGGUUAAGUCCCGCAACGAGCGCAACCCUCGUUCUAUGUUGCCAGCACGUAAUGGUGGGGACUCAUGGAAGACUGCCGGGGUCAACUCGGAGGAAGGUGGGGAUGACGUCAAAUCAUCAUGCCCCUUAUGUCUUGGGCUUCACGCAUGCUACAAUGGCCGGUACAAAGGGCUGCGAUACCGCAAGGUGGAGCGAAUACCCAAAAAACCGGUCUCAGUUCGGAGUUGGGGUCUGCAACUCCGACCCCAUGAAGUCGGAGUCGCUAGUAAUCGCAGAUCAGCAACGCUGCGGUGAAUACGUUCCCGGGCCUU
rnacentral:rRNA from 1 species